GUGUUCAUGAAAAGGAGAGACGGUUGGCAUCUCCCCUGACAGGGACGGGAAGAGCCUUCGGGCUUUCUCUUUUACACAUCCGGUUAAGGAUGUCCACCUCUAGCAGGCGGAUAUCUAACCCAGUUUUUUC